AGCAGCCGCGGUAAUUCCAGCUCCAAUAGCGUAUAUUAAAGUUGUUGCAGUUAAAAAGCUCGUAGUUGAAUUUCGGGGUUAGCAGGUCGGUCGUGCCAUCGGUAUGAACUGGUCUCGCUGAUCCCUCCCUCUUGAAGAACUGUGAUGCCAUUAAUUUGGUGUCGCAGGGAAUCAGGACUGUUACUUUGAAAAAAUUAGAGUGUUUAAAGCAGGCUCACGCUUGAAUACAUUAGCAUGGAAUAAUGAAAUAGGACGUUUGAUCCUAUUUUGUUGGUUUCUAGGAUUGACGUAAUGAUUAAUAGGGAUAGUUGGGGGCAUUAGUAUUCAAUUGUCAGAGGUGAAAUUCUUGGAUUUAUUGAAGACUAACUACUGCGAAAGCAUUUGCCAAGGAUGUUUUCAUUAAUCAAGAACGAAAGUUAGGGGAUCGAAGACGAUCAGAUACCGUCGUAGUCUUAACCAUAAACUAUGCCGACUAGGGAUCGGAUGAUGUUAAUUUUUUAAUGACUCAUUCGGCGCCUUACG
rnacentral:rRNA from 1 species